rnacentral:tRNA from 1 species
GCCGUCGUGGCGGAAUUGGUAGACGCGCUGGAUUCAAAAUCCAGUUCCCUCGGGAGUGCGGGUUCGAUUCCCGCCGACGGUACAA